UGCAGUCGACGAUGAACCACUUCGGUGGGGAUUAGUGGCGAACGGGUGAGUAACACGUGGGCAAUCUGCCCUUCACUCUGGGACAAGCCCUGGAAACGGGGUCUAAUACCGGAUACCACUACCGCAGGCAUCUGUGGUGGUUGAAAGCUCCGGCGGUGAAGGAUGAGCCCGCGGCCUAUCAGCUUGUUGGUGAGGUAAUGGCUCACCAAGGCGACGACGGGUAGCCGGCCUGAGAGGGCGACCGGCCACACUGGGACUGAGACACGGCCCAGACUCCUACGGGAGGCAGCAGUGGGGAAUAUUGCACAAUGGGCGAAAGCCUGAUGCAGCGACGCCGCGUGAGGGAUGACGGCCUUCGGGUUGUAAACCUCUUUCAGCAGGGAAGAAGCGAAAGUGACGGUACCUGCAGAAGAAGCGCCGGCUAACUACGUGCCAGCAGCCGCGGUAAUACGUAGGGCGCAAGCGUUGUCCGGAAUUAUUGGGCGUAAAGAGCUCGUAGGCGGCUUGUCACGUCGGGUGUGAAAGCCCGGGGCUUAACCCCGGGUCUGCAUUCGAUACGGGCUAGCUAGAGUGUGGUAGGGGAGAUCGGAAUUCCUGGUGUAGCGGUGAAAUGCGCAGAUAUCAGGAGGAACACCGGUGGCGAAGGCGGAUCUCUGGGCCAUUACUGACGCUGAGGAGCGAAAGCGUGGGGAGCGAACAGGAUUAGAUACCCUGGUAGUCCACGCCGU
rnacentral:rRNA from 1 species